GGGCGAGGACGACCUCGCCUUCAUGACAAACGGUAGGGACGGCCCUG
rnacentral:ncRNA from 1 species